rnacentral:misc_RNA from 1 species
CAGUUUAUUGGUAGAGCUCAUCCCGAUACAGGUUAUAUAUUUUGCCCUUACCAACAAGUUUUAGUAAAUAUUUUUUCCCAUGUCUUUAAAACAAAACUUAUCUGAUGUUCUGCACCUGCACUGCAUGUGCAGCUCUACGCUUUGCGAAAAUAUUGUUUGUUGCUGAAACUAGAAUCAUUUGUAUUCGGAGCCGUGAACAAACCUCUGUUACGUACCAAAAUUCCUGAAAGUCAGGAUGUCUUGCGUGAAUUUAGUAAUUUAUGUGCAAAGAAUUGCAUAGUUGCAUAGGGGCACGGCAAUAAAUGCAGUAGCGCGGCGGGGAGGGGCGCGGGGCGGGGCACGCGGCCGGCGGCGGGGGCAGGCAGUCGCUCCGUGACCGCGCGCCGCACCGCGUGUGCGUUCGUCUCGCGCGCUACCGUCGCGAACACGGCCGACUACGAGGAGCCCGCCAUGGUGUCCGUGGGCGCGUGGAGGCGCCGCACGCCCGACGACUGCGAGGAGCGCUCGGAGCCGGGCGCGUCCAGCUCGGCGGUGCCGCGCGCGCCGCCCAACUGCGCGCGCUGCCGCAACCACCGGCUCAAGAUCGAGUUGAAGGGCCACAAGCGCUACUGCAAGUACCGCAACUGCACCUGCGAGAAGUGCCGGCUGACGGCGGACCGGCAGCGCGUGAUGGCGCUGCAGACGGCGCUGCGGCGCGCGCAGGCGCAGGACGAGGCGCGCGCGCGGGCGCUGGUGACGGGGCUGCAGCCGCCGGGCGUGGAGCUGGAGCAGCCCGAGCCGCCCGUGGUGAAGGCGCCGCGCAGCCCCGUGGUGCCGCCGCCGCGCUCGCUGGGCUCGGCCAGCUGCGACUCGGUGCCCGGCUCGCCCGGCGUGUCGCCGUACGCGCCGCCGCCGCCCUCCGCGCCGCUGCCGCCCGCGAUGCCGCCGCUCAUGCCGCCGCAGCAACCGGCGGUUUCCUUCGAAACCUUAGUGGAGAACUGUCAGAAGCUGCUAGACAAGUUCCACUACUCCUGGGAGAUGAUGCCCUUGGUGCUCGUGAUCCUCAACUAUGCCGGCAGUGACCUGGACGAGGCCACGCGGAAAAUUGACGAAGGGAAGAUGAUAAUCAACGAAUACGCGAGGAAACACAAUCUGAACGUGUUCGACGGGCUAGAACUGAGGAACUCGACACGCCAGAAAACGCUGGAAAUUAAUAAUAUAAGUGGUGUACUAUCGUCGUCCAUGAAGUUAUUUUGCGAAUGAUACUUUGUUUUACAAGUGCCGUGUUUUGUGUGGACGCUUGCUGUGCGAUGCUGUGUUGCGAACGACUACGGACUUUAUUGUGGCUACCUUUGGACCAUCGCCCACUGGGUGGUCCACCAAUGGCGGUUGUACGAGCGGUCGCUGUGCUCGCU